GCAGCCGCCCGUACAGAGUGGACGAUGGUGGUUUUGAGAGUGGUGUGUAUAACAAUACAGUCAUAAAGACCCCAAACCUAGAUGCUUUGGCCCAGCGGAGCUUGAUCUUCCAGAAUGCCUUCACUUCUGUCAGCAGCUGCUCCCCCAGCAGGGCCAGCCUCUUGACGGGCCUGCCUCAGCAUCAGAAUGGGAUGUACGGAUUGCAUCAAGAUGUGCACCACUUCAACUCUUUUGAUAGUGUCCGGAGCCUCCCCUUAUUGCUUAACCAGGCUGGGAUACGGACAGGUAAGCAGAGGAGAG